rnacentral:rRNA from 1 species
GGCGGACGGGUGAGUAACACGUGGGAACGUGCCUUUAGUUCGGAAUAGCUCCUGGAAACGGGUGGUAAUGCCGAAUGUGCCCUUCGGGGGAAAGAUUUAUCGCCUUUAGAGCGGCCCGCGUCUGAUUAGCUAGUUGGUAAGGUAAAAGCUUACCAAGGCGACGAUCAGUAGCUGGUCUGAGAGGAUGAUCAGCCACAUUGGGACUGAGACACGGCCCAAACUCCUACGGGAGGCAGCAGUGGGGAAUCUUGCGCAAUGGGCGAAAGCCUGACGCAGCCAUGCCGCGUGAAUGAUGAAGGUCUUAGGAUUGUAAAAUUCUUUCACCGGGGACGAUAAUGACGGUACCCGGAGAAGAAGCCCCGGCUAACUUCGUGCCAGCAGCCGCGGUAAUACGAAGGGGGCUAGCGUUGCUCGGAAUUACUGGGCGUAAAGGGCGCGUAGGCGGAUCGUUAAGUCAGAGGUGAAAUCCCGGAGCUCAACUUCGGAAUUGCCUUUGAUACUGGCGAUCUUGAGUGUGAGAGAGGUAUGUGGAACUCCGAGUGUAGAGGUGAAAUUCGUAGAUAUUCGGAAGAACACCAGUGGCGAAGGCGACAUACUGGCUCAUUACUGACGCUGAGGCGCGAAAGCGUGGGGAGCAAACAGGAUUAGAUACCUGGUAGUCCACGCCGUAAACGAUGAU